ACUUUCGAUGGCAUUGAAACAUUCAAUGGCGUUACUUUCAAUGGUAAAAAUGCAAUUACUUUUGCACCAUUGCUAUUUACAAUAGCAUUAACAAAUAUGAAAUACCUAAGGAUAUACCUGGCAAAAGAUGUGUAAGAACCAUGUACUAAAAACUACGAAAUAUUGCUGAGAAAAAUUAAAGAAUACUUAAAUAAAUGGAGAGAUGUAUCAUGCUCAAAAAUCAAAAUACUCAAUAAUGUUCAGAUUUCAAUUCUCCCCAUUUAUCUAUAGACUCAACAUAGCCCCAAUCAAAAUUCCCGCAGGCUUUUUUGUAAUGACUGACAAGCUGAUUCCAAAAGUUAUAUUCAUAUGCAAAAGACAUAGAAUAGCCAAAAUAAACUUGAGAAAAUAAGUGUAAGUUAGAUGAAGUCGUACUAGCUGAUUUCAAGAUUGUAAAAUUAUGGCAAUUAAGAAAGUGGUGUUAAGGCAGAUCGUUGGAGCAGAAUAUGGUCCAGUAAUAAACCUGUACACAUGUGGUCAAAUGAUUUUCAAGAAAAGUGAAAAUGAAAUUAAGUAAAGAAUGAAUGGUAUUUUCAACAAAUGGUGCUGGAACAAUUUGUUAUCCAUAUGUAAAAAUAAAUAAUUUUUUAAAUUAAAUAAAUAACUUCAAUCUAUAUCUUGCAUUAUAUACAAAUGUUAACAUGAAAUGUAAAAACUAAAAUUCGAAAACUUCCACAAGAAAAGCACGGAAUAAACCUUUUGUUAGGCAAAACUUGAAUCAGGCAAAACUUUAUUAGCUGUAACACCAACAGCAUGAUCCAUUUUUAAAAAUGAUAAAUUGGACUCCAUCAGAAUUAAGAACUUCUGUCUUCAAAAGGCAUUGUUAAAAUAACAAAGACAUCUUAGCAAAAUGAAAGAAAACUAACUUGCAAAUUAUACAUAAGACAAAGAACUUGUAUACAAAAUAUAUGAAGAACUUGCUAUACUUAAUUAUAAGAAAAGAAUUAUCCCAUUUUUUAAAUAAACAAAGUUUUGAAUAGACAUUUCACCAAAGUAUAUAGACAGGAAGUAAACAGAUGAAAAAUUUUCAUCAUUAGUCUCAGAGAUAACCAAAUUAAGACCUCAAUAACAUAGCACUACACACUUCUUAGGCUGCCUAAAAUUUAAAAAUUGGAAACACCAAGGGUUAGCAAGGAACUGGAGCAACUGAAAUUCACAUACAAUGCUGAUGGAAAUAUAAAAUGAUACAAGUUCAUCAGUAUGGAAGUCCCGCCAAAAGUUAAACAUACACCUAUCAUAUGAUCCAGCCAUUCCACUCCUAAGUAUUUAAGAGAAAUAAUAGGAUAUGUCCAUACAUGAACUUAAACAAACAUUCAUAGCACCUUUAUUUUUAAUAGCCCCAGACUGUAAACAACCUGAAUGUCCAUCCACAGGUGAUAAACAAAUACAUCAUAUAUAUGCAAUAAAAUAUUUGUCAGCAAUAAAUAGAAAUAAACCACUGAUACAGCAGUGACAUGAAUAUCAAUAAUUAUGUUAUAGUCUUAAUAUUAUUAAGAUAGGACAAAACAGUGUACUUGCACCC